GGGGAAUAUUGCACAAUGGGCGAAAGCCUGAUGCAGCGACGCCGCGUGAGGGAUGAAGGCCUUCGGGUUGUAAACCUCUUUCAGUAGGGAAGAAGCGCAAGUGACGGUACCUACAGAAGAAGCACCGGCUAACUACGUGCCAGCAGCCGCGGUAAUACGUGGGGUGCGAGCGUUGUCCGGAAUUAUUGGGCGUAAAGAGCUUGUAGGCGGUUUGUCGCGUCUGCCGUGAAAAUCCGGGGCUCAACUCCGGACUUGCGGUGGGUACGGGCAGACUAGAGUGUGGUAGGGGAGACUGGAAUUCCUGGUGUAGCGGUGAAAUGCGCAGAUAUCAGGAGGAACACCGAUGGCGAAGGCGGGUCUCUGGGCCGUUACUGACGCUGAGGAGCGAAAGCGUGGGGAGCGAAC
rnacentral:rRNA from 1 species